rnacentral:rRNA from 1 species
GACGAACGCUGGCGGCGUGCCUAAUACAUGCAAGUAGAACGCUGAAGGAGGAGCUUGCUUCUCUGGAUGAGUUGCGAACGGGUGAGUAACGCGUAGGUAACCUGCCUGGUAGCGGGGGAUAACAAUUGGAAACGAUAGCUAAUACCGCAUAAGAGUAGAUGUUGCAUGACAUUUGCUUAAAAGGUGCAAUUGCAUCACUACCAGAUGGCCCUGCGUUGUAUUAGCUAGUUGGUGGGGUAACGGCUCACCAAGGCGACGAUACAUAGCCGACCUGAGAGGGUGAUCGGCCACACUGGGACUGAGACACGGCCCAGACUCCUACGGGAGGCAGCAGUAGGGAAUCUUCGGCAAUGGACGGAAGUCUGACCGAGCAACGCCGCGUGAGUGAAGAAGGUUUUCGGAUCGUAAAGCUCGGUUGUAAGAGAAGAACGAGUGUGAGAGUGGAAAGUUCACACUGUGACGGUAGCUUACCAGAAAGGGACGGCUAACUACGUG